rnacentral:rRNA from 1 species
AUGAACGCUAGCGGCAGGCUUAAUACAUGCAAGUCGUGGGGCAGCAUGAGUAGCAAUACUUGAUGGCGACCGGCAAACGGGUGCGGAACACGUACACAACCUUCCGAUAAGUGGGGAAUAGCCCAGAGAAAUUUGGAUUAAUACCCCGUAACAUAUAGAGUAGGCAUCUUCUUUAUAUUAUAGCUUCGGCGCUUAUUGAUGGGUGUGCGUCUGAUUAGGUAGUUGGCGGGGUAACGGCCCACCAAGCCUACGAUCAGUAGCUGAUGUGAGAGCAUGAUCAGCCACACGGGCACUGAGACACGGGCCCGACUCCUACGGGAGGCAGCAGUAAGGAAUAUUGGACAAUGGGCGAAAGCCUGAUCCAGCCAUGCCGCGUGAAGGAUUAAGGUCCUCUGGAUUGUAAACUUCUUUUAUUUGGGACGAAAAAAGGGAAUUCUUUCCCACUUGACGGUACCAAGUGAAUAAGCACCGGCUAACUCCGU